UACGUAGGGUGCAAGCGUUGUCCGGAAUUAUUGGGCGUAAAGAGCUCGUAGGCGGUUUGUUGCGUCGGCUGUGAAAUCCCGAGGCUCAACCUCGGGUCUGCAGUCGAUACGAGCAAACUAGAGUGUUGCAGGGGAGACUGGAAUUCCUGGUGUAGCGGUGAAAUGCGCAGAUAUCAGGAGGAACACCGGUGGCGAAGGCGGGUCUCUGGGCAACAACUGACGCUGAGGAGCGAAAGCGUGGGGAGCGAACAGG
rnacentral:ncRNA from 4 species